CAACCUACCCUCCGGACGGGGAUAAACCCGGGAAACUGGGUAUAAUACCCGAUAGAUCUCGACUGCUGGAAUGCAUCGAGAUCGAAAGCUCCGGCGCCGAAGGAUGGGUCUGCGGCCUAUCAGGUAGUAGUGGGUGUAGCGUACCUACUAGCCUACGACGGGUACGGGUUGUGAGAGCAAGAGCCCGGAGAUGGAUUCUGAGACACGAAUCCAGGCCCUACGGGGUGCAGCAGGCGCGAAAACUUUACAAUGCCGGCAACGGCGAUAAGGGGACCUCGAGUGCCAGGUUACAAAUCUGGCUGUCGUGAUGCCUAAAAAGCAUUGCAUAGCAAGGGCCGGGCAAGACCGGUGCCAGCCGCCGCGGUAACACCGGCGGCUCGAGUGGUAACCGUUAUUAUUGGGUCUAAAGGGUCUGUAGCCGGCCAGAUAAGUCUCUUGAGAAAUCCAGCAGCUCAACUGUUGGGCUUUCAGGAGAUACUGUCUGGCUCGAGGCCGGGAGAGGUGAGAGGUACUUCAGGGGUAGGGGUGAAAUCUUGUAAUCCUUGAAGGACCACCAGUGGCGAAGGCGUCUCACCAGAACGGACCUGACGGCAAGGGACGAAAGCUAGGGGCACGAACCGGAUUAGAUACCCGGGUAGUCCUAGCCGUAAACGAUACUCGCUAGGUGUCGGCCACGGUGCGACCGUUGUCGGUGCCGUAGGGAAGCCGUGAAGCGAGCCACCUGGGAAGUACGGCCGCAAGGCUGAAACUUAAAGGAAUUGGCGGGGGAGCACCACAACGGGUGGAGCUUGCGGUUUAAUUGGAUUCAACGCCGGA
rnacentral:rRNA from 1 species